UGUCCCGUGCCGCCCUGGAGGGCAGCCAAGGACAGGAUGCGGCCCUGAGGACGAGCCCCACGUGACUGGCACGGUGCACGCAGCCAGGUCUGCACGGCUGUCUCUGCUUUCUCAUUCGGCUCUCAGCUCACACGCAGCCUCCUCCUCCUCCUCGGAGAGUCUCCCCCGACGCCCACCCUGAGGCUCAGCCUCCCCUCCUUUCUGGUCUUAUCUGUGCGUGUGGAGGGCCCGGGGCCCCGGACAGCCAGGCUGAAUUCCGGGGUCUGCUCCUUCCCAGCUGCGUGAGCCUGGGAGUCUGCUUGACCUCUCCGAAGGCCUGGGAUACACAGCCCGGCCUCCUUGCUUGGGCGUCCCUGAGAGGAUUCGCGCAUACGGGGCAGAACGGUGCUCUGGAACGGCGGAGUAUGGUUCAGAGACGGUAUGACGGCUUCACGGAGUCAGGAGACAGCUCUGACUUCAACCCCAGCUCGGACAGCUCUGGGAUUGCAAGCAAGGCCCAGUCAUUUGCCCCAAAGAAACACUUUUUCCUUUUAAGGCAACGAGCUAGAUAUUUAUAUACUGAAUUUUGGGGUCUGAUUAAAGCCUACCAUUGAAUGCAUUUGUCUGGAAAUCAAGUCCCCAGUCUUGCCUUCCAGCCUGGCCAUGCUCCUCCACACCCCACCUUGCCCCACGCUUCUCAGAGCCCUGCUGCCAAGGGCCCCCGAGCACUUGCUGGGGUGCGCCCCUGUCUGGGUGCCCGGAAAACCACGGCGAGGAAAAGCAGCCCCACCGUGACCACCGAGUGGCCAUGGUCAGGGAGACAGACAGGAAGAUGAUCUAAGGCAUGAGGCAAACACUCAGCCCCAGGAACUCGAGGGCCUUGGUGCUGGGGCAUGUGAUCAAGUCAGGGAGGUUGGUGAAGGUGCGUGAAGGUCUGAAGGAAGGCUCGGGGUAAAGUAGGGGAGCAUUCCCGGUGGAGGGUACGGCACGUGCAAAGGCCCUAUGGCACAGGAGUCUGAUGCUUAGGAGGCACAGGAAGAAAAAAAUAUUUAAAAAAGGGAGAACUCUCCUUCUGGCCGCCUCCUGUACGCCCCUUUCCCGGGACACCUCCCUCCCUGCGUGGUUAGAAGCCUCUUCCUUCUUCAAAAUCGAGCUCAAAUGCCUCCUCUUCCCAGAAGUCUUCCAUGACGUGCCUUUCUCCCAUUCUUCAGGAAGAAGGGACUUCCGCUGCCUGUGACCUCCUGCACCUCCCUGACCCCUUCCUGGGCGCUCACUCAUGCCAUCUUGUAUGCAGACCAUCCGUGGCUCAUCUUCCCAACCAGGACACAAAUCUGCAAGGACAGGAACUGUGUCCUCUCCAGUGUGGACUUGGAGUCCCAUCACGCUGGGUUUAAAUUCUUGUUGAGGCCACUCAGUGGUGGGACUGAGCGUAAAGGACUCGACUUCCCCGGGCUCCCAUGUCCCCACCUGGCAAAGGGGGACUGCGCGACGAGGGCGUGGUGUGGCUACACAGACCCCAGCCGGGCCCUGGGCAUCCAUGGGAGUGUAGCUUGUCCAGGGGCGUGAGGGGCUCACAGGGGCUUAGACUCCCUUAGACCUGGGUUUCCCAAAUGUGUCUGAGGGUAAGAACCCCUUGAGCCACUUGAUAAAAAGCAGAUUCUCAGCUUACUGCUGGGGUUCUGAUUCGGCAGGUCUGGGGCAGAGUCCAGAGCCUAUAUUCUGACGAGCUCUCCCAUAGUUCUGAUGCACAGUCCGGUAGGGAAGGAGGGGCCCGGGGGAGGAGGUGAUUUCCAGGGGUGUGAUAAGUCUCAUCGGUUAUCUAUUCUUCCUCUUGGUGCCAGGGUUACGCCCGCACACCCUCUGCUGAGGAACUCCACAGGGCCCACUCACUGUGGGCGGGACAGGUGUUUGAGUGGCAUGGCCCGGCCCGGCCGGGUGUGUGCCCACCAUGCACCAUGAGAGCAGCACGCCUGGGUGUCUGCUGGUCCGACGAGAGCGAGGAGACACAGGGAACAGACUGAAUCCAGUCCACGUCCUGGAGUCCUGCCCAGCACAGCCCGUGCAGAUGAGCUAAACCCUAGUUGACUCGCAGAUGAGCACCACACAGUCCUUCAAAACCUCACGUGGCCAUUGGUUGGGGGACGAGGCUGCAGUCGUCUCCUGGACCUGGCCACAUGGAGGUCUCAGGUGCCCCUGAGGACAGUGGUCUUGGAGGAGAGAAGGGGCCGGACACCUAAGUGGAAUGGACUAAAGAGGGACUCGGGGGAGGAGAACAUGCGUGAUGGCUGGAGCUUCAGCAGCGACGUUGGGCUAUGAAGUGACCUGACAGAUGGAAACCACACACCACGAUGGCAGAGCAGAGGGAAGCAGCCGGGCCCCAGAGAACUCCAUGGAUUCACCACACUUCCCCAGGACUGCCCAUCUGUGGGCUUCUAGUCCAUGAGAGCAUAAGUCCCUGUGGUGCAUGCCACUGGGGUCAGCUCUCUGCUACGUGCAGCUGAAUGCCCCUCCUGUGUGACACAGCGGUUGUGACCCUGCCCUCGUAGUCACCCUGUCCUCGCAGUCACCCUGUCUUAGAGAACCUCGGCCUGGGACUCAGGCAGCCGCUGCCCGGUCAGGACACUGGGCAGCCUCUUCCACCACAGACACCCCCUGCUCUGGUUCUUCC